GCCCCAGGAUGUAGUGUUACCAGAAGCUCUCAGAUACGUUCAUCAGGACUGGCCAAAAACUGUUCCAGAUUGUUUCGAGGCUCAUGUUCAUGUGACACAUGAAUUAUUUCCAUGGGGCGUUGUACUUCGGGGCACCCCAGGGAUGGUAACAGAGGCCAUGCAGGCAGUGGGGUGGCCUGCACGAAGCAGAAGAGUCACACAGUGUUAUGGUGCCCAGGAAUUGACAGUCACAUUGAAGAGUUGGUCAGAAAUUCACCCAAAGACCCAAGCAAGAUCAGAGUCCCAUUGUGCUAGAUGCUUUACAAACAUAGCGAGAGAUGUUCCCUGCUCCAAAGAGCUCAACAUCAAAAUAGACAAGUCUCAUCAGUAUAUGUCAACUUAGAGAAGGGAAAUGCAAGUCAAGAUUUAAGACAAAGUUACCUGUCUUGUUCACAACAGAAC